UGCACCCAAGCGAAAGGCUAUAUCGAUCAUCUAUAUCCAAGAUAUAGAUGCAUGAAUCCACAGAAAUUCCAGAGCUACUCUCACCGCCUGCUUAACAAUUUUUGGUUUAUUAGGUAGAGACGUACUGACGUCCACAAGAAGCUGUAAUCUGUACUGGGGGGAUGAACUCUCUAAAUGCACCUGAGAAAAAGACGAUAGCAUCUAUCUCUAGCAUUUGCUGUGAAAAAAUAAUAUAAAAAACACACC
rnacentral:lncRNA from 1 species